AACGCUAGCUACAGGCUUAACACAUGCAAGUCGAGGGGCAGCACGGGAGUAGCAAUACAACUGGUGGCGACCGGCGCACGGGUGAGUAACGCGUAUCCAACCUGCCCACCACUUGGGGAUAACCUUGCGAAAGUAAGACUAAUACCCAAUGACGUCUCUAGAAGACAUCUGAAAGGGAUUAAAGAUUUAUCGGUGAUGGAUGGGGAUGCGUCUGAUUAGCUUGUUGGCGGGGUAACGGCCCACCAAGGCUACGAUCAGUAGGGGUUCUGAGAGGAAGGUCCCCCACAUUGGAACUGAGACACGGUCCAAACUCCUACGGGAGGCAGCAGUGAGGAAUAUUGGUCAAUGGACGAGAGUCUGAACCAGCCAAGUAGCGUGCAGGAUGACGGCCCUAUGGGUUGUAAACUGCUUUUAUAAGGGAAUAAAGUGAGUCUCGUGAGACUUUUUGCAUGUACCUUAUGAAUAAGGACCGGCUAAUUCCGUGCCAGCAGCCGCGGUAAUACGGAAGGUCCGGGCGUUAUCCGGAUUUAUUGGGUUUAAAGGGAGCGUAGGCCGGAGAUUAAGCGUGUUGUGAAAUGUAGACGCUCAACGUCUGCACUGCAGCGCGAACUGGUUUCCUUGAGUACGCACAAAGUGGGCGGAAUUCGUGGUGUAGCGGUGAAAUGCUUAGAUAUCACGAAGAACUCCGAUUG
rnacentral:rRNA from 1 species